GUCUAGGUGGCAGAUCCCGGCUAAUGCAGAAGACCUAAGCCCUUCUCACGGAGGUUCAACUCCCCCCCUAGACU
rnacentral:tRNA from 1 species